AACGAACGCUGGCGGCAGGCCUAACACAUGCAAGUCGAACGCACCGCAAGGUGAGUGGCGCACGGGUGAGUAACACGUGGGAAUGUACCCUUUGGUUCGGAAUAACGUUUGGAAACGAACGCUAAUACCGGAUGAGCCCUGUGGGGGAAAGAUUUAUCGCCAAAGGAGCAGCCCGCGUCUGAUUAGCUAGUUGGUGGGGUAAAGGCCUACCAAGGCGACGAUCAGUAGCUGGUCUGAGAGGAUGAUCAGCCACACUGGGACUGAGACACGGCCCAGACUCCUACGGGAGGCAGCAGUGGGGAAUAUUGGACAAUGGGCGGAAGCCUGAUCCAGCCAUGCCGCGUGAGUGAUGAAGGCCUUCGGGUUGUAAAGCUCUUUCGUCACGCGACGAUGAUGACGGUAGCGUGAGAAGAAGCCCCGGCUAACUUCGUGCCAGCAGCCGCGGUAAU
rnacentral:rRNA from 1 species